rnacentral:rRNA from 1 species
CCUACGGGAGGCAGCAGUGGGGAAUAUUGCACAAUGGGGGAAACCCUGAUGCAGCGACGCAGCGUGAGUGAAGAAGUAAUUCGUUAUGUAAAGCUCCAUCAGCAGGGAAGUAAAUGACGGUACCUGUGUAAGAAGCCCCGGCUAACUACGUGCCAGCAGCCGCGGUAAGACGGAGGGGGCAAGCGUUAUCCGGAUGUACCGGGUGUAAAGGGAGCGUAGACGGCAGGGCAAGUCUGGAGUGAAAGGCGGGGGCUCAACCCCAGGACUGCUAUGGAAACUGUCAGGCUGGAGUGCAGGAGAGGUAAGUGGAAUUCCUAGUGUAGCGGUGAAAUGCGUAGAUAUUAGGAGGAACACCAGUGGCGAAGGCGGCUUACUGGACUGUAACUGACGUUGAGGCUCGAAAGCGUGGGGAGCAAACAGGAUUAGAUACCCCAGUAGUC